rnacentral:snRNA from 1 species
ACGGAUACACGUUCGUGCACUG